GUGGGGAAUAUUGGACAAUGGGCGAAAGCCUGAUCCAGCCAUGCCGCGUGUGUGAAGAAGGUCUUCGGAUUGUAAAGCACUUUAAGUUGGGAGGAAGGGUAGUAACCUAAUACGUUGCUACUUUGACGUUACCGACAGAAUAAGCACCGGCUAACUUCGUGCCAGCAGCCGCGGUAAUACGAAUGGUGCAAGCGUUAAUCGGAAUUACUGGGCGUAAAGCGCGCGUAGGUGGUUCAGUAAGUUGGAAGUGAAAUCCCCGGGCUCAACCUGGGAACUGCUUUAAAAACUGCUGAGCUAGAGUACGGUAGAGGGUGGUGGAAUUUCCUGUGUAGCGGUGAAAUGCGUAGAUAUAGGAAGGAACACCAGUGGCGAAGGCGACCACCUGGACUGAUACUGACACUGAGGUGCGAAAGCGUGGGGAGCAAAAGGGAUUAGAUACCCCAGUAGUCC
rnacentral:rRNA from 1 species